CUAUCAUAGCUGAAUCUUCUUCUAUAUCAAUUAAGGGGAGAAGAGGUAAUCUGCUAGUAGCCUGUUUAUUCAUUUGCUUCUUUUGCAUGUUUGUGUUACCUGCCUCUUUUGGUUUUGUGCACCAUUCCUAUUUCUAAGAUGUCCAUGUUGGGUAAAAAGGGGAGGGAAAAUGACAUGUCUAAAGCGCUAUGUUAUUCUUCCAGAUUUGACAAAGUCACAAGUCUUUGAUGUCAUGAUUUACUAUAUUGGUUUUGUUGUAAUGAUUAAUUGGUUGUCAUCAAGUUUUAUGAUAGCACAUACAAUGAUUCUUACAUUCGAGUUUCUUUUGUAUGGUAAUUUUCCUGAGGUAGUGUUGAUAACAAUGACUUCAUAGUUUUAAUCUUUAAAUAACAAGCAGAUAUUCUGAAGCACCUUAGAAAUGUUGUGCAGUCUGCAUUCAUAUGGUACAUCAUGAUAUUAAAAUGUCUCCAUAACCUUUAAAGUCUUUGACAUGAUAUAUAAUGUUCUAUAAUUCAUUUCUGGUAAUAUAUGUUACAUGAGACUAAAUGUAUUUUCUUUGAAGUAGUUGUAAAUGUUAAUGACUUGCAUUUGGAAUUCCUGUCAGUCUCUGAGUUCCUAGUAGAAAUAUCAGAUGAUCUGUUAGUGUUUUUCCUUUCGGUUUUCUGAUUUUACCUAUAAUUUAAGUGGUUUCAACGGUAUAGAAGAUUUCCAUUUUGGAUCAUGAAAUUUUUAUUCAAAGAAACGGGUAUAAAACCCUAUAGGAAUGUACAUUAGCAGUAGCAUACUUUAGGCCAUUCAAGAGGCAUCUGCAUGAGUGCUGGCAAAAGCGUACAAGUCCAAUUCUGUGCGUGUUUACUCCAAAUGGAGCCUGGACAAGUGCUCUAAUAUAAUCAAUGCUCAACUGCUUUUGUUCUCUUUUUCUUUUUUCCUUCUCUUUUAUGUUGUUCGGGUAACUGAUGUUGUCAUUCAUUUUCAUAAUAAUAUGCUGCAAGCAUCGUCUCAAUUUUACUCAACUCCAAGUCCCAGAUGAUAUAAUGAUGCUCCAGGUUUUACUAUGAGGAUGACAUACUAAUAAUUUCAAUAUCUUGAGCAUGCUUGUCAAAAUAUAAAGACCUUCAACAGCCCCAACUAUGCUGGUUAGCAUGUAUGACAUCACUCUUGGAAGGAAAUUCAAUCGGCUUUAAUGUUUGAAUUUGAGUGCUGAAAUUAUUCCUUCAGGCAAAAUACAAAACAGAUGCUGAAGGUAUGACAAUUUAUUUAAAACUUUGGAUCCUCAGCUGAGAAGAUGUGAAGAAGCCAAUAAAUAAAGUACCCACUUGGAACAUGGAGUAUUCCACCUGUGAUUGUAUAUUGAUCCAACCCUCUAAAUACGAAAUCAACUUAGAAUUUAAUAACGUACUUGAUCUUUUUUUUUUUUUUUGAUUGAUCUAAAUCAAUUGUACCAGUGUUCAAAGUUUUUUUUUUAAGCAUUCUUCUGGAUUAUGGAGUAUACCACCUUGAGUGGUGACAAGA